CGUAGAUCACAGUGGAGAGCAGUCACCACGCCGGCAGCAACCAGCCCACAUGCCAGAGCCUCAGUGUUAGGGAAGGACUUCCCCAGCACAGUCUCCUUUGCCAUGAACACCAUGUGCCGUUUCAGAGAUGGGGAAACUGAGGCUGGGAUGGCUGGAGGGAGGAUGACCGGAAGCCAGAGAAUCAGAGUGACAGCCUCUGAGGCCAGAAACCCCAAACCCUGGUCUAACCACGAGGAAAACAUCAGGCAGACCCAGGUCGCAGGACAUCUCACAAAACACCUGAGCUCUACUCCCCAAAAUGGCCAAGAUCACCGAAAAUGAGGAACGAUGGAGAAACUGUCGCAGACCAGACGACUAGGGAAACAUGAGCGCUAAAUGCAAAGUACAUCCUGGAUGCGAUCCUGACGCGGACACGCUGUGGACUCGAAAUCAAGUCUAGCAUUGGGUGAGCGAUGAUGAACGGGGGUUGAUGCAGAGCCCCAGUCAUGUAGAAUGACAGCGUUACGGGAAAUUCAAACUGAG